rnacentral:rRNA from 1 species
UACGUAGGGUGCGAGCGUUGUCCGGAAUUAUUGGGCGUAAAGAGCUCGUAGGCGGUUUGUCACGUCUGCUGUGAAAUCCCGAGGCUCAACCUCGGGCCUGCAGUGGGUACGGGCAGACUGGAGUGCGGUAGGGGAGAAUGGAAUUCCUGGUGUAGCGGUGAAAUGCGUAGAUAUCAGGAGGAACACCAGUGGCGAAGGCGGUUACCUGGAGCUUUGCUGACGCUGAUGCGCGAAAGCGUGGGGAGCGAUCCGG